rnacentral:misc_RNA from 1 species
GAAAAAUUCCUGAAAUUAUUGAAAUAUUUGGUAAGGUAAAUAAAAAGGGUAUUUUCUUCUGCUUAGCAAUUUGGGAACAAAACAUCUACAACUUAUUAGUGAAUACUACCUUCUAACAAUCAUACAAUCUUUAACAUCUCAAAGCUAGAAAUCACCAAGGGAUGCUGUAUGGAACUAUUACGUACACAUAUGCUGUAUUGUAGAUCCAUAGAAUGGUCAUCUUUGCAAAGCAGAAUAGCAGAUAUGUGUAGGAUAGGACAAACUGAGGAUAUAAUUUAAGCUCUUGGAUAGCGAGAGCGGCCUUUCUUCUUGAGAAACUCAGGAAUCUCCACGGAACCACCUUCGGCAAAAGAGGAGGGUCGCCGAUUGAUUCCUAAGGUUACGUCUUGGGAUAGUUGGCUUGCCUGGAGAGGCCUGCCUUCAUUUUCUUCUUGCCGUUUGAAUCCAGUUGCAAUUAGAGUUAUGCUGACCUGGGUGAAAAACCAAUAUAAAUUAACGUCCAUCAUGCGGAUCCUAUUCAAAGAGUUCAUGUCUAACUGAUGUGGCAGUCUAAAGAUCCCCUGUACAAAUGUCAUUUGAAAUCCACAAGUACUUGGUCAAGCACUCCAAACCGACUACAGCUUUUUACCUGUCCGAGCAGAAACAUUUGCAUUGUUUCACUGAGAAAGGGGAAAGGAAGAGAGGGCGAGGGGAGGGGAGGGGAGGGGAAUUGAUCUUGGAAUAUCAGAAAAAUUCUGGACUAAUUAUAAUUGUUCUCUGCAAAGGUUUUUCAAUGCUAAUAUCCAUUUCAAUAUGGUCCAUAAAACAGUGGAAAUGAUUGAGAUCUGAUUAAAAAGUUUGCAUAAAGUCCCGCAAGAGUAAACAUCACUUACUUGACCGCUUAUUGAAGGAUCUAUCACUGCUCCAAAUAUUAAAUUUGCAGUUGGAUCUACAAGGUCAUAGAUAACCUCUGCUGCAGCAUUCACCUCAAAUAAAGUCAAAUCACUACCACCUGUUAUGUUCCAUACAAUUCCAGUUGCCCUCUCUAUACCAAUAUCCAAUAAAGGUGAUUGGAUUGCAUUUAAUGCAGCAUCCCUUGCCCUCGUUUUCCCUGCACAGAAACAAGAACCAACAGAGAUAACUUUUGAAUGCCCUAUAGAUGCUCAAUCAAAAUGCAAAACAAGAACAAAUGGAAAUAACUUUCAAAUGCCCUAAAGAUGCUUAAUCAAAAUGAACCUUGAACUCCAGGACAUUACAGAAUGCUAACAAAGAGGCCUCUCUAGGUGAUCAAGCCACAGAAAAAAGGUUAUCUGGCCACCAUUAUAGUAAGUCAUUACAUACCAUUAGGUGAGAUGAACCCAAAAGAAAACAAAGAUGAACCACAACAUCAAUACAGCCAGUGGGCAUGAAAAAGAACAAUCAUAAAUUUUCUUGAUAAUAAAGAAACAUAGUUUCGGGAGGAGAUGGAUUUUUUAUGUACUAUGUCUUAAUUACUGGCUCAUAAAAGAAGGCAUCAGCAGUUGCAUGACAGUUGUUGCUGAUUCUCACAGUUGCACUCUUUAAUUGAUGCAUUUUUUUCUCCCUCUCACUUAUGGAGACUGGAGACCCUAAGCCCCAAAUGUUUUCUUUUCUCUUUUUCUUAGUUUUAGUAAAUAAACUCAGGAAAAGUUUGGCCUUUUUUCAAUUUUAAAACUGACAUGGAUUUCUGCUAAUAUAUUUACUUUGUUUUAUUUGCUCAUGUCAAAUCAGUACUCAAUCUCCAAAUCAAAACGUUAAGAGGUUCAAUGGCAAAAAAGUAAAGCUAGAAGGCUCAAAAAUUCCGUAGAAAACUUGAAAAGUUUAAGGGCUAAUUGGCUAAAAAAAAAAGGAUUUUCCCUUAUGUCAUAAGAUGAGUUGUGAACUAUGUAUUAAACUAGUAGCAGUUGCUCAAAUGUGAUAUUAUUAUUUAGCAUCUAUGACAAGCACGGGAAGGACAAUAAGCUGAUGCUAUGGACAGCAACAACCCCACAAAUCUUUCUUCAAACGGUGAUUGAAUAGAUAAGCCACCAAGCAACAGGCAUAUGUAGCAUGCUGCAUGAGAAUUUGCCAUCAUUAACCUGUUUGUUUUCCUUGAAAAGGAAGGGCCAAUAUAUCUCAUAGUUAACAUAGGAUAGCUACAAGUUUUUAACUAGCCUAAGGGGCCAAAUGUUUAAUUUGGAGUACAAAGCAAUGCAAGAAACCUAAACAUUAUUGUGAUAAAUAGCAUAAAAUUACCAGUUGCAGUUCCUAUCCCCAUUAAUGAAGAUCCUGCAUUUGCCAUUAUAGCUCUUACAUCAGCAAAAUCCACAUUUACCAAUCCUGGAAUCGUAAUGAUAUCAGAGAUACCACGAACACCCUGACGCAGAAUAUCAUCAGCCAAGUUAAAUGCUUCAGUUACUGGGGUUGAUUGGGAAACAGCAGUCAAUAACUUGUCAUUUGGAAUGAUAAUCAAUGUGUCAACAUCAUCUCUCAAAGCUGCAAUUCCUUCCUGGGCCUGAACUGCUCUUCUUCGUCCCUCAAAAGAAAAAGGAGUAGUGACUAUACCAACUGUCAAUAUACCCAUUGACUUUGCAACACCUGCAAUCACAGGAGCCCCGCCUGUGCCAGUUCCCCCACCCAUUCCAGCUGUGACAAAGACCAUAUCAGAACCAUAAAGUGCCUCUUCUAUUGCCUCUUUGCUUUCUUUGGCCGCAUUCAUUCCAAUCUCAGGGUUACCUCCUGCUCCAAGUCCUCUAGUCAGCUCCUGACCAAUUUGCAAACGAUUCUCAGGAAAUACAGGAGACAUUUUCAUGGCUUGGACAUCUGUGUUGACAAUCCAAAACUCCACACCCUUCAUCGCACUCUCUAUCAUGCGAUUGACUGCAUUUGACCCGCCACCUCCAACACCAAUAACUUUGAUCUUAGCUUCAUUAUAAUUACUUGGAUUGGAUUCCCGUCCUAAGCUGUCAGUAAUAAUUCCACUUGAAUUAUCCUUCCUUGGGGUGUUUGGUGAGUUGUUCCCCUCACCCCUGAGCAUUGAAAUUUCGGGGUGCAGAUCCAGAAAAGAGUCUUUGUUGUGAUAUGGACUAACACUAUUAGACUUCGCUGAGCAUUUAAAAUAAGAAAUGUUUGACUUUUGGGCACCCAGAUACCUAUUCUUAUCAUCAGACAUUUUAAGAGAGUCAACUCUCCCCAGGUGAUUCUCCACUGAAACUCUCCCUCCAAGAACAGUUAACGUCCCCAUUGGGUUUCUAGUAUCAGAAGGGGUACAAUAAGGUGACAGACAAGCUGCCAUCUUAAUCUUAAAUAGCGUUGAUGAAAUGGCACUAGGUAUAAACACCAGAAUGGCUUAAAUGGAUAACUAUAUUAAGAAAUCACUUCCAACACCUGAAAGAGUUGCAGAGUAACAGAUAGCGAAUUCCCUUCGAGCAUUUGGCUACUGCUGAGGUAUGGAGUAGAAAUGGGUUUUUUUUUUUU